ACCAGGACCUGCUCCUGCUGGAGCACAACAAGUGGUCCAAACCUGGCCUGUCACAGGAAUGCUGUGACUUACUAAGGGUUCUUCUCCACGAGAAGCCAAUCCGGCGACUUGGUCUGGGGCAAAUCAGGUCCCACAACUGGUUUAUGGUCGUCUUAUAGGACCACUCCGGUUGGCGCCUCUCUUGCAGCUUUGCGUCUUGCGGGCUGCAGCGGGAGGUGCUUUCAUC